rnacentral:rRNA from 1 species
CAGUAGCCACGGGAAUACGGAGGGUGCAAGCGUUAAUCGGAAUUACUGGGCGUAAAGCGUGCGUAGGCGGUUCGUUAAGUCUGUUGUGAAAGCCCCGGGCUCAACCUGGGAAUGGCAAUGGAUACUGGCGAGCUAGAGUGUGUCAGAGGAUGGUGGAAUUCCCGGUGUAGCGGUGAAAUGCGUAGAGAUCGGGAGGAACAUCAGUGGCGAAGGCGGCCAUCUGGGACAACACUGACGCUGAGGCACGAAAGCGUGGGGAGCAAACAGGAUUAGAGACCCGUGUAGUCCCUGUCUCUUAUAC